rnacentral:rRNA from 1 species
AUUGAACGCUGGCGGCAGGCUUAACACAUGCAAGUCGAGCGGAGAGAGGUAGCUUGCUACUGAUCUUAGCGGCGGACGGGUGAGUAAUGCUUAGGAAUCUGCCUAUUAGUGGGGGACAACAUUUCGAAAGGAAUGCUAAUACCGCAUACGUCCUACGGGAGAAAGCAGGGGAUCUUCGGACCUUGCGCUAAUAGAUGAGCCUAAGUCGGAUUAGCUAGUUGGGGGGGUAAAGGCCUACCAAGGCGACGAGCUGUAGCGGGUCUGAGAGGAUGAUCCGACACGCUGGGACUGAGACGCCGCCCAGACUCCUACGGGAGGCAGCAGUGGAGAAUAUUGGACAAUGGGCGGAAGCCUGAUCCAGCCAUGCCGCGUGUGUGAAGAAGGCCUUAUGGUUGUAAAGCACUUUAAGCGAGGAGGAGGCUACUUUAGUUAAUACCUAGAGAUAGUGGACGUUACUCGCAGAAUAAGCACCGGCUAACUCUGUGCCAGCCGCCGCCGUAAGAC